UGUUGUGACAGUGUGGUUAGGCUUCCUGCUUUUAACUCAUUUUCCUGUGAAACAUGGCCCUCAGAAGAUGUUACAAUUUUCUCAGAGAUACUGCUAUCACUAUCAUCACUAUCAAAAUGUGCCUUUACGAAGGACAAGAAAGAGUUUUCCCAUUUAUUAAAGCUAUUAUUUUUCUGAACUGAGUUACUAUUUUCCUGAGAUUUGUAUGGGCUACUGUGUUGUUUUUGCCACAGGACCUGCUGGAAUAUAUUCAAUUUGGAAUUUCAGAAGAGUGGACUAUGUACAAGAAACUCAAAUAUAGACUUAAGAGUAGAUCCAUCUAGAUAUGACCUCUUCAGUUAAGAGACUAUACAAGCUACUUCUACCAAGCAGAAUAAUUCUUACAUAAUUAAUUAGAUCAUCAUCAUUUCCUACUGUCUCUACCUAAUAUGGUUCUAAUUUGAAUGCUUCAUUGUCUUCAAAACAAAAUAUAGGCAUAGAAAGGUUUAAUAACAUUGUAAUUGCUUAUGCAACAAAAGAUGGUUUUGAAAAGAAGCAUAGGUUAAUAAUAAAAAUAAUGUACUUUAGUAUACCUUUUAUUGCUUCCUUCAAAUACUGAAGGCAAAAUUAAAACUACCUAUCUGUGCAUUCACCCCAAAAUGAUAAAAACCUAGAAGAAAUGCCUUGCAUGCAGAAAGUACUAAUUGAAUAUUUGACAGAAGAAAGAAUAAAUGAAUAUUUCAGAUGUGAUUCAUUAAAAUAUGAAUUUCCA